GACGAACGCUGGCGGCGUGCUUAACACAUGCAAGUCGAACGGAAAGGCCCUGCUUUUGUGGGGUGCUCGAGUGGCGAACGGGUGAGUAACACGUGAGUAACCUGCCCUUGACUUUGGGAUAACUUCAGGAAACUGGGGCUAAUACCGGAUAGGAGCUCCUGCUGCAUGGUGGGGGUUGGAAAGUUUCGGCGGUUGGGGAUGGACUCGCGGCUUAUCAGCUUGUUGGUGGGGUAGUGGCUUACCAAGGCUUUGACGGGUAGCCGGCCUGAGAGGGUGACCGGCCACAUUGGGACUGAGAUACGGCCCAGACUCCUACGGGAGGCAGCAGUGGGGAAUAUUGCACAAUGGGCGGAAGCCUGGUGCAGCAACGCCGCGUGCGGGAUGACGGCCCUCGGGUUGUAAACCGCUUUCGCCUGUGACGAAGCGUGAGUGACGGUAAUGGGUAAAGAAGCACCGGCUAACUACGUG
rnacentral:rRNA from 1 species